CUUAAUUUUCACAAUAUAUUACAUUUUUUAUUGUGAUUCUAACAAUGCAACAAAUUCUAAUUUUAUUUCUUUCACGAUUUUUCGUUUAUUUUAUGAGAUCCAAAAGAACACAAUUUUUCUAUAUGAAAUCUUACAAGGAGAGAUCCCCAAGUGGAAUCCACCGAUUUUGUUGUAGACUAUGUCUUCCUGAAUGUAGUGAUGCCCCCUUUUGCCGGCGGACGGUCGGCCAUUUGAGAUAUUGCGGGUCGGGGUUUUUGGCGAAUGUUUGGCUGCAGUUUGGAGUCGCCUAAUUGAACGGGCUGUCGUGGCCUUGGG
rnacentral:lncRNA from 1 species